rnacentral:rRNA from 1 species
AGCCCAGACUCCUACGGGAGGCAGCAGUAGGGAAUUUUGCGCAAUGGGCGAAAGCCUGACGCAGCAACGCCGCGUGAUCGAGACGCCCUUCGGGGUGUAAAGAUCUGUCAGUGGGGACGAAACUUGACGGUACCCACAGAGGAAGCACCGGCUAACUACGUGCCAGCAGCCGCGGUAAUACGUAGGGGGCGAGCGUUAUCCGGAUUCAUUGGGCGUAAAGCGCGCGUAGGCGGCCUGUUAGGUCGGGGGUCAAAUACCGGGGCUCAACCCCGGUCCGCCCCCGAUACCGGCAGGCUUGAGUCUGGUAGGGGAAGGCGGAAUUCCCAGUGUAGCGGUGGAAUGCGCAGAUAUUGGGAAGAACACCGGCGGCGAAGGCGGCCUUCUGGGCCACGACUGACGCUGAGGCGCGAAAGCUAGGGGAGCGAACAGGAUUAGAUACCCCGGUA